rnacentral:rRNA from 1 species
UACAGAGGGAGCGAGCGUUGUUCGGAAUUACUGGGCGUAAAGGGCGCGUAGGCGGUCCGAUAAGUCCCGUGUGAAAUCCCUCGGCUCAACUGAGGAAUGGCACGGGAAACUGACGGGCUUGAGUUCGGGAGAGGGAAGCGGAAUUCCGGGUGUAGCGGUGAAAUGCGUAGAUAUCCGGAGGAACACCGGUGGCGAAGGCGGCUUCCUGGACCGACACUGACGCUGAGGCGCGAAAGCUAGGGGAGCAAACAGG